rnacentral:rRNA from 1 species
CAGUCGCCGCGGUAAUACGUAGGUGGCAAGCGUUGUCCGGAAUUGCUGGGCGUAAAGGGCUCGCAGGCGGUUUCUUAAGUCUGAUGUGAAAGCCCCCGGCUCAACCGGGGAGGGUCAUUGGAAACUGGGAAACUUGAGUGCAGAAGAGGAGAGUGGAAUUCCACGUGUAGCGGUGAAAUGCGUAGAGAUGUGGAGGAACACCAGUGGCGAAGGCGACUCUCUGGUCUGUAACUGACGCUGAGGAGCGAAAGCGUGGGGAGCGAACAGGAUUAGAUACCCCAGUAGUCCCUGUCUCUUAUAC